rnacentral:lncRNA from 1 species
ACGUACCAAUCUAUUGCGACCAACUCCUCAUCGCCUGUCGUCGGAAACGAACACCUGCAAAACAGCAUCCACACAGACCAGAUUUAUGUCCGACGGAGAUCCUCCGAUGCCUAAGUCAGAGAGAGAAGUUGGUAAACAGGAGUUGAAUAUAAGAAAUAGCAGAGUUUUGGCCCAAGGUUCGCUUAUCAUCCCUAUUUUUCUUACCUCCUUUUAUAGAUGAGGUUCUCGUAAUCG